AGGAAAAGGAGAGUGUGGAUAUCUAUUGUCAAAAAACCAAAAGAUGUGAAAUGUAAAUGAGAACUCGAUUUAUAUGAAGCCAGGAAUAUCUACUGAUUAUCCUACGAAUCAUGAAACAUUAACUAACAUGCCUUUAACAUGCUUGAACUAUUAAAAGGAAAGUGAAUGCAGA